rnacentral:rRNA from 1 species
AGCAGCCGCGGUAAUUCCAGCUCCAAUAGCGUAUAUUAAAGUUGUUGCAGUUAAAAAGCUCGUAGUUGAACUUCAGGCCUGUCCAGAUGGUCCGCCUUAAUUGGUGUGUACUGUCCUUGGGUGGGUCCUACCUUCUGGCGAAGCGGCAUGGCCUUAAUUGGUUGUGUUGGGGAACCAGGACUUUUACUGUGAAAAAAUUAGAGUGUUCAAAGCAGGCAAAUAUGCUCGAAUACAUUAGCAUGGAAUAAUGGAAUAGGACGAUGGUUCUAUUUUGUUGGUUCUAGGACCGUUGUAAUGAUUAAUAGGGAUAGUUGGGGGCAUUAGUAUUCAAUUGUCAGAGGUGAAAUUCUUGGAUUUAUUGAAGACUAACUACUGCGAAAGCAUUUGCCAAGGAUGUUCUCAUUAAUCAAGAACGAAAGUUAGGGGAUCGAAGACGAUCAGAUACCGUCGUAGUCUUAACCAUAAACUAUGC